CCUACGGGGGGCAGCAGUCGGGAAUAUUGCGCAAUGGAGGAAACUCUGACGCAGUGACGCCGCGUAUAGGAAGAAGGUUUUCGGAUUGUAAACUAUUGUCGUUAGGGAAGAUAAAAGACUGUACCUAAGGAGGAAGCCCCGGCUAACUAUGUGCCAGCAGCCGCGGUAAUACAUAGGGGGCAAGCGUUAUCCGGAAUUACUGGGUGUAAAGGGAGCGUAGGCGGGGAUGCAAGUUGGGGGUCAAAACUACCGGCUCAACUGGUAGUCGCACUCAAAACUGCAGCUCUUGAGUGAAGUAGAGGCAG
rnacentral:rRNA from 1 species